GUGCCCCUGCCGGGAAAUGGCGGCGGCUGUGCCGGUGCUCCCAGUACGCCUCAGGAAUUCCGUGAAGCACCGCUGUGCGGGAGGUGGGGGCCGGCAAUACCACAAUACCACUGGCGGGGACAACUGAGAAGGCAAUGACCAGGAUAUCAAGGAUAACUGGGGCGACAGUGAUGAUGUGAAAAGAAAGAAAGAGAAGUAAAACUAGAAGUAAAGGUUUCAGAAAAGAUAGAUCGAUAAAUAAUCGAUCGAUAGAUAGAUAAUAGAUAGAUGAUAGGCAGGUAGAUAAAUAGAUAAUAUUAUAUACAUGUAUAUGUAUAUGACUCGAGAAAGCCAAAGAGAAAUUACAGCAACUGGAAAAAAAAAACAUUAAAUUAAAAAGAUGUUAGGAGAACAUAAAGUGCUAACACCAAAGAACAAUUAGCAAACUCGACCGGGACUAAACUAAAGAAAUUCCAGGAAGAGUCAGACUUCAAACCAGCCAAAAAGACGUUUGGUGUUAAUACAGUUUAUGGAGCCAAGGCUCUGAACCCACUUUGGAGAGAUGGCUUCCUGGAUUUUGAAAAGUUACUAAAAAAUAAAAUUACACAAUAUGAAAAGUCACUGUAUUAUGCAAGUUUGGGGUAUCCUUAGAUGGAGAUGUGUGCCUUUUUUUAGAAGUUGAUGACUUGAAAAAGAUUACUGAUGCUCUGCAGUGACAAAAAGAAGCAAGAGAAGCAAAAACAGAAAAGUGUGGUUCCUGGAGGGGGAUUAAAGGAUUAAAGGCCACCGUUAAAGACGAGACCUCAUGUAACAUUUUAAUCUUCUCCUGGUGUCUUUUGGUUGCUCAGUCCUAUGGAUUGAAUAUUUGUUUUCCUCCAAAACUCAUACGUUAAAAUCCUAACCACAGUGUGAUGAUAUUAGGAGAUGGGGGCUUUGGGCCUUAACAGGUGAGAUGAGGGUGGAACCCCCAUGAUGGGAUUAGUAUCCUUACAAGAAGAGAAAGAGACUAGAGCUCUCUCCUUCUCCCCACAAAGUAAGGAUACAGAAAGAAAGUGGCCAUCUACAAGCCAGGAAAAAGGAGCUCUCACCAGACACUGAACCUGUCAGCAACUUGAUCUUAGUGUUCCCAGCCUCCAAGACUGUGAGAAAUAAAUGCCUGUUGUUACAGGCAUCCAGUCUAUGAUAUUUUGUUACUGAAACUCUGGUUCACUAAGACACUCACAAUCCCUUUGAACAUGUAGCACAACUUCCUUUCCCUUCAUUUCUGCCAAAUGCUGCAAUUAGAAGUGCAGUAUCUUUGUGCUUGCUAUUUAAUGUCUUGACAAUUAGGAGCUAAUGUAAGAAAGAGGAAAUUGGGUUUUGUUGCCAAGAGGUUAAAAUUUGGAAGUUCAAUUGCUACUAAAUCAUAGCGGUUUUUGUAAAUCCUAAUAAUGCUAUAAUCCUUAGUAUCUUAUUCCAAAAAGGCAGUGUCACUAAAUUGGAAACAAACUACGGCCAAAAUUGUAUUUACCAGCACCAUCCAGUAAUGUAGCCUGAACAAUACCUCCUUGAACUACUUCUUGUCAAGAAAAGCAGUUUGUAAAAAGGACAUGUGGUCUUCACCUACUUUAAAGUUACUUUGUCUAAAAAUUGAGUUGGAGGAUUCAAAACAUAGAUUUUGAAGAAGAGUGCUUAUUUUUGAGUGAAGUUACUGCUGCUGAAAAGCCACCAAUUUGAUACUUAAAUGAUUUAAAAGAAAAAAAAACUUUCAAACUUUGAAGCCCAAGAAAGUAAAUCAUUAUUGUAUUAUAAGCUGUGGAAUGUCUUGAGUGUCUAAUGCCUUAACUGUCUAGUUUAUAUUAAUCAGAAUAUUUCUACUGGUGGACCACUUCAGACAGAGGAGAGAGACUCUAUCUCUUUUAUUUGCCUAAUUUAAGUGUCUGAGAAACAGAAUCUCCUUUGUUCUGCUGGACUGUAAUGGAAGAACUUCAUCUGGGUUUUGGUAUUUUCCUUCCCUUAUAACAUGUGCUCAGCUAACUAUACUAUUAAUAGUUAGCAACAGUUUGCUGAAUUUUUAUGUUAACAGUUAUGAUAUUACAUUUUGUAAGGCAACUAACUGAAUAAAAUCAAUAAAAAGAAUACUUUGUUAACAA
rnacentral:lncRNA from 1 species